GUCUCUCUUGAGUGGAUCCUGAGUACGACGGAGCACGUGAAAUUCCGUCGGAAUCUGGGAGGACCAUCUCCUAAGGCUAAAUACUCUCUAGUGACCGAUAGUGAACCAGUACCGUGAGGGAAAGGUGAAAAGCACCCCGGAAGGGGAGUGAAAUAGAACCUGAAACCGUGUGCUUACAAGUAGUCAGAGCCCGUUAAUGGGUGAUGGCGUGCCUUUUGUAGAAUGAACCGGCGAGUUACGAUUUGAUGCAAGGUUAAGCAGUAAAUGUGGAGCCGUAGCGAAAGCGAGUCUGAAUAGGGCGUUUAGUAUUUGGUCGUAGACCCGAAACCAGGUGAUCUACCCUUGGUCAGGUUGAAGUUCAGGUAACACUGAAUGGAGGACCGAACCGACUUACGUUGAAAAGUGAGCGGAUGAACUGAGGGUAGCGGAGAAAUUCCAAUCGAACCUGGAGAUAGCUGGUUCUCUCCGAAAUAGCUUUAGGGCUAGCCUCAAGUGAUGAUUAUUGGAGGUA
rnacentral:rRNA from 1 species